rnacentral:piRNA from 1 species
UGCACCGUACUGCCCAGAGGCUUCGAGGU